rnacentral:rRNA from 1 species
UACGAAGGGGGCUAGCGUUGUUCGGAUUUACUGGGCGUAAAGCGCACGUAGGCGGAUCGUUAAGUCGGGGGUGAAAUCCUGGAGCUCAACUCCAGAACUGCCUUCGAUACUGGCGAUCUUGAGUCCGGAAGAGGUGAGUGGAACUCCUAGUGUAGAGGUGGAAUUCGUAGAUAUUAGGAAGAACACCAGUGGCGAAGGCGGCUCACUGGUCCGGUACUGACGCUGAGGUGCGAAAGCGUGGGGAGCGAACAGG